rnacentral:lncRNA from 1 species
GGCGUCCUUCAGCUGGCCCCUAAACAAAUAUAUACUAGUCCAGUGAUAAUGAACGCCAUACUAAUUUCCAAAUUGUACAGAAGAAACUAAAAUUAAAAUAAUACAAGACUAACAAAGGCCAGAGGCUCCUGACUUGGGACAGGCGCAAAAAUGCGGCGGGGUUAAACAUGUUUGUGAGAUCUCAACCCUCCCCCUAUACCUCUAACCAAUGUAGUAAAGUAAACGCAUAACAAUACGCACAUUAAAAUUCAGUUCAAGAG